rnacentral:rRNA from 1 species
GUUAACACCAAAUAAGUAGAUCCACUUGGGGGAGUACGACCGCAAAGGUUGAAACUCAAAGGAAUUUGACGGGGGCCCGCACAAAGCAGUGGAGUAUGUGGUUUUAAUUCGAAGCAACGCGAAGAACCUUACCAGGUCUUGACAUCCAACGACCGCCUAAGAGAUUAGGCUUUCCUUCGGGACGUUGAGACAGGUGGUGCAUGGUUGUCGUCAGCUCGUGUCGUGAGAUGUUGGGUUAAGUCCCGCAACGAGCGCAACCCUUAUUACUAGUUACUACGCAAGAGGACUCUAGUGAGACUGCCGUUGACAAAACGGAGGAAGGUGGGGAUGACGUCAAAUCAUCAUGCCCUUUAUGACCUGGGCUACACACGUACUACAAUGGCUAUUAACAGAGAGAAGCGAGACCGCAAGGUGGAGCAAACCUCAGAAAAAUAGUCUCAGUCCGGAUUGGGGGCUGCAACCCGCCCCCAUGAAGCCGGAAUUGCUAGUAAUCGCGGAUCAGCAUGCCGCGGUGAAUACGUUCCCGGGCCUUGUACACACCGCCCGUCACACCAUGAGAGCCGGGGGGACCCGAAGUCGGUAGUCUAACCCCAAGGAGGACGCCGCCGAAGGUAAAACUGGUGAUUGGGGUGAAGUCGUAACAAGGUAACCGUAAAGGGCGAAUUCGGAC